AUUCAUGAAACCGGGGCCUGGUGUGUCUGUGCUCUGGGACACGGGUGGCAAAGGUGCCUCGGCUCUACGCAGACCCGACGGGCCCGGGCACGGAGGCGGAUCGCCCGGGACAAACCGACACAGAGCAUGGGAGACCCCGGCCCUUUCCCCGCGCUGCCGGGAGGGGAGAGUCUGGGCCAUCUGUGUCCCCGUACCCCAGCCCCAACAUCCCACCCACUCCCGUGCCUUUGCUGGCCCUUUGUCCCAGGCUCUGGAAAAGUUCAAGGAACACAUUGUUCCCUCAAAAAACAGACCGGCAGCUGAGAGAGGAUGGCAAUCCUGAUGGAUGAGAAAAAACAGAGCUGUGGACACCUAAGAGAAGACUAUAGGACUUCAAACAUCAACCCAUUUCAGUUCUGAUGUCAGCAAGGAGAGAACUGGCAAACUGGGCCAACCGUUUGAUUGACACAUAGAAGGCCAACUGGGUAAAAUCAUUACUCAAAGACUGUAUUUCCAGUGCACUCUCCAGUUGUAUCUGGUCAGGGCAUCAUCCAAUGCUGUGGAUGAAGCUUGCUGUCAUUUAGCAAAAUGUCAUAGUGAUCACUGACUGUUUGCCUGUAAUAGUUAAUAGCAACCUUUCUGUCAAUGCUAUAAUUAAAAAAAUAGGUUAUUUGUGGUU